GUGCAGCAGUCGCGAAAACUCCGCAAUACACGAAAGUGUGACGGGGCUAUCCCGAGUGCCGUCCGCUGAGGAUGGCUUUUCCCCAGUGUAGACAGCUGGGUGAAUAAGGAGAGGGCAAGUCUGGUGUCAGCCGCCGCGGUAAUACCAGCUCUUCGAGUGGUUGGGACGAUUAUUGGGUCUGAAGCGUCCGUAGCCGGCCGGAAAAGUUCCCCGUUAAAUCUGGCGAUCCAAUCGUUGGGCUGCGGGGAAUACUCUUCGGCUUGGGGGCGAGGGAGGUCGGCGGUAGUCCCGGGGUAGGGGCGAAAUCCUAUAAUCCCGGGAAGACCACCAGUGGCGUAGGCGGUCGGCUAGCACGCGCUCGACAGUGAGGGACGAAAGCUGGGGUAGCGAACCGGAUUAGAUACCCGGGAGUCC
rnacentral:rRNA from 1 species